UUAAUUUAGAAAUUUUAAACUUUCCAAGUUUUUCGUGUACGGAUAAUUUGACGGCUGCGGCUCGCGCGGCACUUUGUUUUUCUUUUUUCGUCUAAACACAAUCGUCGUCGGAUAGUUUUCGAGUGUUUUUUUUAGAAAGAACCCAUUCAAAGUGCUCGAAGAUGGACGCAAUGCAAAAACAAUCACAGUGCAGUGAAUGGAUGCCUGGAGCAGGUUCGGAAUACCGCGUAGUGUGAGCGCCAGUGUAAUUUAGUGCAAUUUUUCAAUUUUUGUGUAAUGUUAAGUGUAAUUUUUUUUAAAUUAAAUAUUAAAUUUGAAUAAAUCCAUCCUAACUAA